rnacentral:lncRNA from 1 species
GAACAGACUCUACGAUCAUCUCCUUGGCCAUACUCCUUCUGCGAUCAGAGUCCACUCUACGAUCAUAAGGAAUAUAAUGAUUGCCAGCAUGUCGGUAGACUUUGUAGUGAGGCUGUUCUUUGAUCAUUUUGGUUGCAAACUUCCGUAUUCUUGGAAAUUUCUGUGACACCAUCUCCAAGUUGGGAAGAUGAGAGAAGAC